rfam:Myotis lucifugus cont2.2325, whole genome shotgun sequence.
GAGACAUCCUUAUGUGGCAGGACUUGUUUCAGUGGGGCUUUGGUGCUCACUGAGUCUGCCCCUUGAGUGUGUUGCU